rnacentral:misc_RNA from 1 species
UUGAUUGCUACACUUCCUUUGGAGGUUAGUGUCAGCAUAUUAUCAUUUUCCUGAAUAGCGUUCAUAUCAAAGUUACUUUAGAUACAAUUUUUCUCUAAAAGAGGAAGAAAGAGUUUCUUUAGACAUAAAGAAGGCUUUUAUAUUCUUGAUGGAUGCCAUCAAAAUUAUCGGCUUUUCUCAUAGUGUUAACUUUUAUAUAUGUUAUUGACUACUGUAUAAAGUUAUCCUGGGCAGUCUCUGUCAGCAGCAGUGGUAGAAAUGUUCAUCUAGGAUCACUGGAUCAGAGUAUGAGAUGAGCAGGAAUAGAAUAUAUGUCAAUAAUAAGAGUAAAAGAGCAUCGUUGCUUCCUGAUGGAAGAAGAGCAUUAUAACUUGUUGACACAGUUAAUAUAAUUUUUCUGGUCAGAAAUCUGAGAAUACCUGACUUGCCAAAAUAAACAAAUGGAUACACAACUGAUUUAAUUGAUCAUGUUGUGCGUUGCGAAAACAUGUAAACAGUAAAUAAAUAAAGCAAACGUACAAAAUACUAAUAUUUACGUGG